rnacentral:rRNA from 1 species
AGCAUGGUUCAGCACCAGAUAUAGAAGGCCAAGACAUUGCCAACCCAACGUCAAUGAUUUUGUCUGUGGCGAUGCUCAUUGAGUGGAUGGGGCAAAAGCAUAACCGCGAAGAUUUGCUGAAUGCAUCGAAAGCGAUGACAUCAGCCGUGGAUGCGGUGUUAGAAAAUCCAAACUAUCGCACUGCGGACCUAGGUGGUUCAUGCGGCUGUCAGGCCUUUAGUCAUGCGGUAGUGGAACAACUAGCCAAUAGCUAGUGUAUAUCGCUGAGUUAAGUAGUACAGCACACUAAUAGAUAAAACAAGCAACGUACUUACAUAAAAAGGAAGAACUCAUGUCCCUACAUAAAACCUUCGUAGCUGCACCUGUACUAGCUGCGAUUUUAAUUUCCCCUAUGAGCAUUGCAAAGGAUCUGGAUUACCCAACUAAAAGGUUAAACUACACCAUCGCGUUUGGUCCUGGUGGUGGUAACGACCUGAUGUCUCGCACUGUGGUCGAUAUUCUUAAAAAGUAUGAUUUCUACGAUAAUACUAUCCGCGUUGAUAACCUCGCUGGUGGCAGUGGUGCUGUUGGUUUCAACUUUGUUGCUCAGAAGAAAGGCAACCCGUACCASSAUUAGAUACCCUGGUAGUCCACGCCGUAAACGAUGUCUACUUGGAGGUUGUGGCCUUGAGCCGUGGCUUUCGGAGCUAACGCGUUAAGUAGACCGCCUGGGGAGUACGGUCGCAAGAUUAAAACUCAAAUGAAUUGACGGGGGCCCGCACAAGCGGUGGAGCAUGUGGUUUAAUUCGAUGCAACGCGAAGAACCUUACCUACUCUUGACAUCCAGAGAAKCCAGCGGAGACGCAGGWGUGCCUUCGGGAGCUCUGAGACAGGUGCUGCAUGGCUGUCGUCAGCUCGUGUUGUGAAAUGUUGGGUUAAGUCCCGCAACGAGCGCAACCCUUAUCCUUGUUUGCCAGCGAGUAAUGUCGGGAACUCCAGGGAGACUGCCGGUGAUAAACCGGAGGAAGGUGGGGACGACGUCAAGUCAUCAUGGCCCUUACGAGUAGGGCUACACACGUGCUACAAUGGCGCAUACAGAGGGCAGCAAGCUAGCGAUAGUGAGCGAAUCCCAAAAAGUGCGUCGUAGUCCGGAUUGGAGUCUGCAACUCGACUCCAUGAAGUCGGAAUCGCUAGUAAUCGUGAAUCAGAAUGUCACGGUGAAUACGUUCCCGGGCCUUGUACACACCGCCCGUCACACCAUGGGAGUGGGCUGCAAAAGAAGUGGGUAGUUUAACCUUUCGGGGAGGACGCUCACCACUUUGUGGUUCAUGACUGGGGUGAAGUCGUAACAAGGUAGCCCUAGGGGAACCUGGGGCUG